AGGACGAACGCUGGCGGCGUGCUUCAUACAUGCAAGUCGAGCGGAAAGGCCCUUCGGGGUACUCGAGCGGCGAACGGGUGAGUAACACGUGAGCAAUCUGCCUUCAGCUCCGGGAUAACGCGCUGUGGUAACACAGCUACUGGAAACAGGUGCUAAUACCGGAUAUGACCUCGAAGGACAUCCUUUGAGGUGGAAAGUUUUUCGGCUGAAGAUGAGCUCGCGGCCUAUCAGCUUGUUGGCGGGGUAACGGCCCACCAAGGCGACGACGGGUA
rnacentral:rRNA from 1 species